GAAUUUUGGACAAUGGGGGCAACCCUGAUCCAGCCAUGCCGCGUGAGUGAAGAAGGCCUUCGGGUUGUAAAGCUCUUUCAGCCGGGAAGAAAACGUGGUCUCUAACAUAGGCCAUGGAUGACGGUACCGGAAGAAGAAGCACCGGCUAACUACGUGCCAGCAGCCGCGGUAAAACGUAGGUCCCGAGCGUUAUCCGGAUUUACUGGGCGUAAAGCGCGUUCAGGCGGUGGGCUCAGUCGGGCAUGAAAGCUCUCGGCUCAACCGGGAGAGGUUGUCCGAUACUGGCCCACUUGAGGGCAGUAGAGGGUGGUGGAGUUCCGGGUGUAGUGGUGAAAUGCGUAGAGAUCCGGAGGAACACCAGUGGCGAAGGCGGCCACCUGGACUGCCCCUGACGCUGACACGCGAAAGCUAGGGGAGCGA
rnacentral:rRNA from 1 species